UACUGUGGAGAAUACAUUAUAUUAAUUAUUAAAAACUUUUGUAGGAAUGUGACUGCAUCACUCGUCUUCACCUGCACCGGCUGCAACACUUUCACCUUCGUUUGAUGCUCGCACGGGGGCACGCAGCAACGAGAACAAUAAAGAGAAUGUGGCUGCAACACGUUCACCUUCGUCUGAUACUCGCACGAGGGCACGCAGCAACGCGAGCGACAUUCAUCCAGUGAAUGUGGCUGCAACACGUUCACCUUCGUCUGAUACUCGCACGAGGACACGCAGCAAUGCAACUGGGAACAAAAAAGAGAAUGUGUCUGCAUCACCUUUACCUUUACCAUCACCUGCUACUCACACGCCGUACUGUAGGUCUCUUUCAGUUCUCAAAGCAACUGAGACUACUGUGUGUUCAGUUAAAUAGGAACUGUUUUGAGCAAUGGCAU